rnacentral:rRNA from 1 species
AGCUAACGCUGGCGGCGCGCCUAAUACAUGCAAGUCGAACGGGGAAGUAUCUUCGGGUAUUGUACUAGUGGCGCACGGGAGAGGAACACGUGGAUAAUCUACCUUCGAGUGAGGGAUAACUAGUCGAAAGACUGGCUAAUACCUCAUAAGACCACAGUAACUAAUGUUACAGGGGUAAAAGGUUUUUCGCUUGAAGAUGAGUCUGCGUCCGAUUAGCUAGUUGGUGAGGUAAUGGCUCACCAAGGCAACGAUCGGUAGCUGGUCUGAGAGGAUGAUCAGCCUCACUGGAACUGAAACACGGUCCAGACUCCUACGGGAGGCAGCAGUAGGGAAUAUUGCACAAUGGAGGAAACUCUGAUGCAGCGACGCCGCGUGAGUGGUGAAGGACUUCGGUUUGUAAAGCUCUGUUCUUAGGGAAUAAAAAAAUGAAUGUACUUAAGGAGAAAGGGACGGCUAACUUCGUGCCAGCCGCCGCGGUAA